rnacentral:rRNA from 1 species
AUUGAACGCUGGCGGCGUGCCUUACACAUGCAAGUCGAACGGCAGCACGGGUGCUUGCACCUGGUGGCGAGUGGCGAACGGGUGAGUAAUACAUCGGAACAUGUCCUGUAGUGGGGGAUAGCCCGGCGAAAGCCGGAUUAAUACCGCAUACGAUCUACGGAUGAAAGCGGGGGACCUUCGGGCCUCGCGCUAUAGGGUUGGCCGAUGGCUGAUUAGCUAGUUGGUGGGGUAAAGGCCUACCAAGGCGACGAUCAGUAGCUGGUCUGAGAGGACGACCAGCCACACUGGGACUGAGACACGGCCCAGACUCCUACGGGAGGCAGCAGUGGGGAAUUUUGGACAAUGGGCGAAAGCCUGAUCCAGCAAUGCCGCGUGUGUGAAGAAGGCCUUCGGGUUGUAAAGCACUUUUGUCCGGAAAGAAAUCCUUGGCCCUAAUACGGUCGGGGGAUGACGGUACCGGAAGAAUAAGCACCGGCUAACUACGUG